UUAGUAAAAUAUUCUGAGCUGUAUCAAAGGUAGCAUGGUGUUCAUUUGGAAGCUGUGACCUCUAUCAGAACCAUUGUGGAGCUCAUCCUAAUGCACUCGAGCUUUGAUCAUCAUGCUUUAAUACCCUAUGCUGCACAUUGCCCUGCGAAUCCCUGGCCCUAACCUGCCCACUCCUAGCAUAAUCUUGACCCUGACCUAGCCGAAUCUCUGGCCCUAAACCGAAGCCUGUGUUGUGCAGCCUUCAGACCAAGAGAAGUAACCUCUGCAUACACAACUGGGUUCGUGUGGUUUGCAAUAGUCGAUUCGGCAGUCUCAUGUAUUGAGCUGGGUUGUCUCUGAUAGAGCAAAAUGGCCUAUACAGUCACAGUGCCCAACACGACGGAAGACACCCCCAUGAAGCUCUGCAAGCCUCGCUCCACUAUCCCCAAAUCUCGCAAUAAACGCCGUAUCCUUCAUACCUCGACCACCAUGGGUCCUAAGACACGGUCCUACCAGUGUUACUACUUACGCUAAUCAUCAUCUUCAUCAUCUCGACAGGUAUGACAUCCUCAUAUUUCAGUACUUAUAUUUUUCUACGUCAAAUUGGACAUUAUUUAUUCCUUACCUUAUAUAUUCAUGUCAAUGUGUCUUGACAAUAAAGUUGAGUUGUUAUUUGCCAUAUCUGCUAUAUCAUGCAAAUGCAUGUGGAAUUUGGUUCACAUUUCAAACAUAUCGUUUGGUUUCAAAAUUUGUCCUUGUCAUUUGAGCAUAUAUUAGAGGUAUAUGGAUGAACCAAUCGAGUUGAUUUGUUAUUGUGGAGUGAUGGAUUGGAGGAUAUCUUGAUUGAGAUAUUGUACCAAGAAAUGUUAAUGGAUAAACUGAGGGGAGGGAAUAUCACAAAAGGACACCAUGUGAGGCUUGCUGAACGACUAUAUGAGAUUGGGCCAAAGAAAUUCAAUUCCAAUCAAGUUAAGAGAAGACAACGGGAAUUUAUGGAUCUUAUGAAGCAAACCGGUUUGCUGUAGAACCCAGAGAGGAAGGCCCUAGUUGCCAGCAACGAACACUAGGUGAAUGCAUGGAAGACACUGCAUUGGGCAUUGAUGGACCCGGCCCCAAAUAAUGACGAUGAGUGGAUGCUUGAGGACAUUUGAAACCAUGGCCAACCGAUGGCUGAUCAUGAAGGGGGCCCAUCGGGAGCAGCUGGCAUGGAUGUAUCCAUGCAAUCAGGGAGACCCUUCUCCGCCUCCUAUGUAGCGGAUCUCACUGACGAUAGAGGGGAGGGCCUUCCUAGCCCAUGCCCCUUCAAGAGCAAUUUAGCGAAUGCCUUGAGGAAAUUAAGCGUAAUGCUGCUACCAGGCGAAAGGCUACUAAGGAGGGGAGCUGUGGGAACAUGUUCAGGAAGUACAAUAAAGGGUCGAAUAGCAUGGAGUCUGAUGGAGUGUUUGAUCUCCAGGUGCAUUGUAUGAAGUUUCUAAAAGCAAUAGAGCCUCCCUUGCCUCCUGAGCAAUUUAACAAGGCCUUCGACCAAUUACUUGAUCCAGAAGUGCAGAGAUUGUUCGUGUGAAUUUUUGAUUUUCACAGGGGUUAGUGGGCUUGGAGUUUUACCUGAGUAGGCAUUGAUGAGGAUAUUACGGGUGGACUGUUGGAUGGGUAUUUUAUGUUUAUCAGUUUGACUGAUAAUCAUGUAUCUGACCUUAGAUUUUAUGUUAUUUAUGCUUGUUUUAAUUAUUUAUGUUGAACAUGUGAGUUAAGUAUCUACUGGUACGUUGAAUGACUUUGUUGGUAUUUUUUUUUAACAUUUAUGUAGUGGCUAAUUAAUCGGUGACAUUAUGAACAUUUAUGCAGCGGCUAAUUAAUGCUAUGAUCACAUUUUAUUGAGCAUA